rnacentral:rRNA from 1 species
AUUGAACGCUGGCGGCAGGCCUAACACAUGCAAGUCGAACGGUAACAGGAAGAAGCUUGCUUCUUUGCUGACGAGUGGCGGACGGGUGAGUAAUGUCUGGGAAACUGCCUGAUGGAGGGGGAUAACUACUGGAAACGGUAGCUAAUACCGCAUAACGUCGCAAAACCAAAGAGGGGGACCUUCGGGCCUCUUGCCAUCGGAUGUGCCCAGAUGGGAUUAGCUAGUAGGUGGGGUAACGGCUCACCUAGGCGACGAUCCCUAGCUGGUCUGAGAGGAUGACCAGCCACACUGGAACUGAGACACGGUCCAGACUCCUACGGGAGGCAGCAGUGGGGAAUAUUGCACAAAGGGCGCAAGCCUGAUGCAGCCAUGCCGCGUGUAUGAAGAAGGCCUUCGGGUUGUAAAGUACUUUCAGCGGGGAGGAAGGGAGUAAAGUUAAUACCUUUGCUCAUUGACGUUACCCGCAGAAGAAGCACCGGCUAACUCCGUG